UACGUAGGGGGCAAGCGUUGUCCGGAUUUAUUGGGCGUAAAGAGCGUGUAGGCGGCUUUGCAGGUCCGCUGUGAAAACUCGAGGCUCAACCUCGAGCUGUCGGUGGAAACCGUAAAGCUAGAGUCCGGAAGAGGAGAGUGGAAUUCCCGGUGUAGCGGUGAAGUGCGCAGAUAUCGGGAAGAACACCCGUGGCGAAGGCGGCUCUCUGGGACGGUACUGACGCUGAGACGCGAAAGCGUGGGGAGCGAACAGG
rnacentral:rRNA from 1 species